rnacentral:rRNA from 1 species
GAUUAACGCUGGCGGCGUGCAUAACACAUGCAAGUCGAACGAUGAAACUUAGUAGACUUCUUCGGAAAGACACUAAGCGGCUUAGUGGCGAACGGGUGAGUAACGCGUGAGUAACCUGCCUUACACAAGGGGAUAGCCUUUGGAAACGAAGAAUAAUACCCUAUAAAACCAUAAAAGCACAUGCUAGAAUGGUCAAAGUGAUAGCGGUGUAAGAUGGACUUGCGUCUGAUUAGCUAGUUGGUGAGAUAAAAGCUCACCAAGGCAACGAUCAGUAGCCGGCUUGAGAGAGUGUACGGCCACAUUGGGACUGAGACACGGCCCAGACUCCGACGGGAGGCAGCAGUGGGGAAUUUUGCACAAUGGGGGAAACCCUGAUGCAGCGACGCCGCGUGAUUUAGAAGGCCUUCGGGUUGUAAAAAUCUUUUGUAUAGGAAGAAAAUGACAGUACUAUACGAAUAAGGUCCGGCUAAUUACGUG